UUGACCUCAAAUCAGGUAGGACUACCCGCUGAACUUAAGCAUAUCAAUAAGCGGAGGAAAAGAAACUAACAAGGAUUCCCCUAGUAACUGCGAGUGAAGCGGGAAAAGCUCAAAUUUAAAAUCUGGCGGUUCUUGACCGUCCGAGUUGUAAUCUAGAGAAGUGUUACCUGUGCUGGACCGUGUACAAGUCUCCUGGAAUGGAGCAUCACAGAGGGUGAGAAUCCCGUCUUUGACAUGGACUGCCUGCACGCUGUGGUGCGCUCUCGAAGAGUCGAGUUGUUUGGGAAUGCAGCUCAAAACGGGUGGUAAAUGCCAUCUAAAGCUAAAUAUUGGCGAGAGACCGAUAGCGAACAAGUACCGUGAGGGAAAGAUGAAAAGAACUUUGGAAAGAGAGUUAAACAGUACGUGAAAUUGCUGAAAGGGAAACGCUUGAAGUCAGUCGCGUUGGCUAGAAAUCAGCCUUGCUUUUGCUUGGUGUACUUUCUUGUCGACGGGUCAGCAUCAGUUUCGACUGCUGGAUAAGGACUUUGGGAAUGUGGCAUCUUUGGAUGUGUUAUAGCCCAUUGUUGCAUACAGCGGUGGGGAUUGAGGAACUCAGCACGCCGCAAGGCCGGGUCUCUGACCACGUUCGUGCUUAGGAUGCUGGCAUAAUGGCUUUAAUCGACCCGUCUUGAAACACGGACCAAGGAGUCUAACAUGCCUGCGAGUGUUUGGGUGGAAAACCCAUGCGCGCAAUGAAAGUGAAAGUUGAGAUCCCUUUGGGGAGCAUUGACGCCCGGACCAGACCUUCUGUGACGGAUCCGCGGUAGAGCAUGCAUGUUGGGACCCGAAAGAUGGUGAACUAUGCCUGAAUAGGGUGAAGCCAGAGGAAACUCUGGUGGAGGCUCGUAGCGAUUCUGACGUGCAAAUCGAUCGUCAAAUUUGGGUAUAGGGGCGAAAGACUAAUCGAACCAUCUAGUAGCUGGUUCCUGCCGAAGUUUCCCUCAGGAUAGCAGAAACUCGUAUCAGAUAUAUGUGGUAAAGCGAAUGAUUAGAGGCCUUGGGGUUGAAACAACCUUAACCUAUUCUCAAACUUUAAAUAUGUAAGAACGAGCCGUCUCUUGACUGGACCGCUCGAUGAUAGAGAGUUUCUAGUGGGCCAUUUUUGGUAAGCAGAACUGGCGAUGCGGGAUGAACCGAACGCGAGGUUAAAGUGCCGGAAUUCACGCUCAUCAGACACCACAAAUGGUGUUAGUUCAUCUAGACAGCAGGACGGUGGUCAUGGAAGUCGGAAU
rnacentral:rRNA from 1 species